GGCAGUUCUCGGGUGAUGCACCCCAGAAUUGGGCUCCCUCCUCUCUGGUUUUGGGGUGCAUCACCGGAGAACCACU
rfam:Myotis brandtii contig127275, whole genome shotgun sequence.